UACAGAGGUGGCAAGCGUUGUUCGGAUUCAUUGGGCGUAAAGGGUGUGUAGGUGGCGCCGUAAGUCGGGUGUGAAAUUUCGGAGCUUAACUCCGAAACUGCAUUCGAUACUGCGGUGCUUGAGGACUGGAGAGGAGACUGGAAUUCAUGGUGUAGCAGUGAAAUGCGCAGAUAUCAGGAGGAACACCGGUGGCGAAGGCGGGUCUCUGGGCCGUAACUGACGCUGAGGAGCGAAAGCAUGGGGAGCGAACAGG
rnacentral:rRNA from 1 species